rnacentral:rRNA from 1 species
AUUGAACGCUGGCGGCAGGCUUAACACAUGCAAGUCGAGCGGGGUGAUGGUGCUUGCACUAUCACUUAGCGGCGGACGGGUGAGUAAUGCUUAGGAAUCUGCCUAUUAGUGGGGGACAACAUCUCGAAAGGGAUGCUAAUACCGCAUGCGUCCUACGGGAGAAAGCAGGGGAUCACUUGUGACCUUGCGCUAAUAGAUGAGCCUAAGUCGGAUUAGCUAGUUGGUGGGGUAAAGGCCUACCAAGGCGACGAUCUGUAGCGGGUCUGAGAGGAUGAUCCGCCACACUGGGACUGAGACAGGCCCAGACUCCUACGGGAGGCAGCAGUGGGGAAUAUUGGACAAUGGGGGGAACCCUGAUCCAGCCAUGCCGCGUGUGUGAAGAAGGCCUUAUGGUUGUAAAGCACUUUAAGCGAGGAGGAGGCUCUUUUGGUUAAUACCCAAGAUGAGUGGACGUUACUCGCAGAAUAAGCACCGGCUAACUCUGUGCCAGCCGCCGCAGUAA